rnacentral:rRNA from 1 species
UUGGGUUAAGUGCGCGUAGGCGGCCUUCAUCGUCGGGCGUGAAAUUCCCUGGGCUUAAACCUGGGGGCGUGCGUUCGAUACGUGGGGCGUUGAGUGUGGGAGAGGGUCGUGGAAUUCCCAGUGUAGAGGUGAAAUUCGUAGAUAUUGGGAAGAACACCGGUGGCGAAGGCGGCGACCUGGUCCAUGACUGACGCUGAGGCGCGAAAAGCGUGGGGAGCAAACAGGAUUAGAUA